CCUACGGGAGGCAGCAGUGAGGAAUAUUGGUCAAUGGCCGUAAGGCUGAACCAGCCAAGUAGCGUGAGGGAAGACUGCCCUAUGGGUUGUAAACCUCUUUUAUGCGGGGAUAAAGGUGUCCACGUGUGGCUGUUUGCAGGUACCGCAUGAAUAAGGACCGGCUAAUUCCUUGCCCGCAGCCGCUGUAAUGCGGAAGGUCCGGGCGUUAUCCGGAUUUAUGGGGUUUAAAGGGAGUGUAGGACGGUCUGUAAGCUUGCCGUGAAAUUUUGUGGCGAAACCAUGGGAGUGCGGCGAGAACUGGAGACCUUGAGUGCGCGGAAGGUAGGCGGAAUGCGUGGUGUAGCGGUGAAAUGCUUAGAUAUCACGAAGAACCCCGAUUGCGAAGGCAGCCUGCCGAAGCGUUACUGACGCUGAAGCUCGAAAGCGUGGGUAUCGAACAGGAUUAGAUACCCGGGUAGUC
rnacentral:rRNA from 1 species